AUACGGAGGAUCCGAGCGUUAUCCGGAUUUAUUGGGCUUAAAGGGAGCGUAGGCGGAUGGUUAAGUCAGUUGUGAAAGCUUAAGGCUCAACCUUGAAAUUGCAUUUGAUACUGGCCGUCUUGAGUGCAUUAGAUGUGGGCGGAAUUCCUGGUGUAGCGGUGAAAUGCUUAGAUAUCACGAAGAACUCCAAUUGCGAAGGCAGCUCACAGGACCGUAACUGACGCUGAUGAUCGAAAGUGUGGGUAUCAAACAGGAUUAGAUACCCUGGUAGUCCACACAGUAAACGAUGGAUACUAGCUGUUUGCGAUUUACCGUAAGCGGCGAAGCGAAAGCGUUAAGUAUUCCACCUGGGGAGUACGCCGGCAACGGUGA
rnacentral:rRNA from 1 species